GAUUCAGUAGCUCAGUUGGUAGAGCACAUCCCUUUUAAGGAUGGGGUCCUGGGUUCGAUCCCCAGCUGAAUCACCA
rnacentral:tRNA from 1 species